GGUCACCUGUACAGCAAGAGCAAGAGCACCCCUGUCAUGGCGUCGCGGUGAUGAUGCUCGCCCGGCAAUCCUUCCACAUUUUCCGCCAUUUCCCGAUUUCGGGCGCCCAGCCGUACACGUGAACUAACAGUCUUGGCUUCAGGGCAGGUCGCUGAAAUGGUCCGCGAGACAGUGGCUGGCGAGGGAGAAGGAGGAAGAGGAGGAGGAAGAGGAGAAAUGACCAAGAGGAGGGAAGAGACAAGAGGCCAAGCAGUGCAGAGGAGGAGAAGAAGGAGGAAGAAGAAGAGGAGGAUGUGACCUCUAUACAUAAAGGCAGAACUAUAUAUAGAAGCUUAUGGAGUAGAGGAAAUAUGUCAAUCUAUGGAGAAGGAGGAGGAGGAGGAGGAGGAGAAGGUUAACUUGUAAAUAUCGGCAGUUUAUAUACCAAGGAAAAUAUUUAAAUGAUUUGUAUUAUGCAUCUAUUUAAAUGUACGUUAUGCACUUAAAUGUAUGUCUGUAUAAGGUUGUGGGAUUUACUUAUAUUGUCUGUGGUAUUUUUUUUACUUAUAAGGUUGUACUGAGGAUUUUACUUAUAAGAUCUAUGGCUGUAUGGAACUCCUACAAACCCUUUCUACUAUGGCUAUUAAUUAACAAAAACCUCUUAGUUUCAGCUUGUGUACAGGGUUAAAAUAUGGUUAAUGUUAGAGUUGGAAGUGUCUGACAGUCCCAUCUCUUUCUUACAGGCCAAGCAGGAAGAAGAAGGAGGAAGAAGAAG